rnacentral:rRNA from 1 species
UGGCGGACGGGUGAGUAAUGUCUGGGAAACUGCCUGAUGGAGGGGGAUAACUACUGGAAACGGUAGCUAAUACCGCAUAACGUCGCAAGACCAAAGAGGGGGACCUUCGGGCCUCUUGCCAUCAGAUGUGCCCAGAUGGGAUUAGCUAGUAGGUGGGGUAACGGCUCACCUAGGCGACGAUCCCUAGCUGGUCCGAGAGGAUGACCAGCCACACUGGAACUGAGACACGGUCCAG